rnacentral:rRNA from 1 species
CAUAGCGACUAUCGUGGCAUAUCAAUAAGCGGAGGAAAAGAAACUAACAAGGAUUCCCUUAGUAACGGCGAGUGAAGCGGGAAGGGCUCAAAUUUGAAAUCUUCAAGGUUUUACCUUGACGAAUUGUAGUUUAAAGAAGUGUUUUCUGUUGAAGUUUUGGUAAAAGUUCUUUGGAAUAGGACAUCAUAGAGGGUGAGAAUCCCGUAUUUGACCAUUAUUUUCAGCUGUGUGAUACACUUUCAAAGAGUCGGAUUGUUUGGGAAUGCAGUCCAAAAUGGGUGGUAAAUCUCAUCUAAAGCUAAAUAUUGGCGAGAGACCGAUAGCGAACAAGUACCGUGAGGGAAAGAUGAAAAGAACUUUGAAAAGAGAGUUAAACAGUACGUGAAAUUGUCAAAAGGGAAGCGUUUGACACCAGUGUUGUUUUCUCGAAAAUCAAUUAAAAAAGGCCGGAUUUUGUGUUGUAUUGACCUUAAAAGCUUUCUUCACUCUUUUCUUGUCUUUUUUAAUGCACUUUUCGUUUAACAAGUCAACAUCAGUUUCUUUUGUUGUAAAAGGGUCAUUGGAAGGUGGCUUUCUUUUCGGAGAAAGUGUUUAUAGCCUUUGGCUUCUGCAAUCGGAGAGAUUGAGGUCUGCAGCGUAGAUCCUUCGGGGUUAGAUGCAUUUGUGCUAAGUUAUAGCCUUUCAUAGACAACUUGUUGACUAUGAUCAGUCAUGUAGCUUACUCGCUUAUGCUAUUUUACCUACGCUUAGGAUGUUGAAGAUAUGCGCGACACG